GCGGAGGAGAGGGAAGAAGGAGCGAAAGGCCGGAAGAGACCCGGUGGCGCGGGAAAGGAGGAGAUUUCCCCGAUUUCCUCUAGCGGCAGCAGGUCACCCUGCAGGCACGGCUCCCAGACCAAGGUCUUACCUGGGAGGCGG